GCGGACACAUGUUCUUUAGGAAGUAUGUUGUCUUUCAGGUAGUCCUGGAUCUUGUAGAUCAAUGAAUUGGGACCCCCUUAAGUAACUAGAAGUGGCACUAAGAGAUCUCUAGGAUCCUUAAUAUUACACAUAAUCCUUGGUGUGAUACAUGGAUGGAGUGCCACCAGGAUCGCUAGCUUCAAGGUGCUAGUCUAACCCCCUUCGCCCAGCUCGAUAGGCUAGGCGGAAGGUCUCAAUAGUUGUCUUUUGACGAUGCUCGCAGGCAUGGGUGCCCAAGUUGAUGCCCUCAUGGAAAGUUCAUUUGUUGAUGAGUUGUUAGCGUGUGGGACAUGUUGCAAUUCCGACAGAUGACCCAACAUCUAGGGCAUGAGUUGUUGGGGCUGAAGGGCCCAUAGCGCUGGAAGUCAAAAAGAUGCAGGAGGCCAAGCUAAGAUCAGAUGUUAGGGUCCGGACUCAUGCCCCAGAUGUCAGGACUCGGCCGGACCCC
rnacentral:lncRNA from 7 species